GGCCGGAGGAAGGCAGCCAAGAGGAAGUGGGCGGCACAGACCAUCCGGCGGCUCAUCCGAGGCUUCAUCCUGCGCCACGCCCCCCGCUGCCCCGAGAACGCCUUCUUCCUGGACCAUGUGCGCACCUCUUUUUUGCUAAACCUGAGGCGACAGCUGCCCCGGAAUGUCCUGGACACCUCGUGGCCCACACCCCCACCUGCCCUGCGUGAGGCCUCAGAGCUUCUCCGGGAGUUGUGCAUAAAGAACAUGGUGUGGAAAUACUGCCGGAGUAUCAGUCCUGAGUGGAAGCAGCAGGUAUGGAGAGCAGGGCUGGGUGAGGAUGAGGAAGUGGAGGCAGGGUGUCGCAAGUAUUGCUCAAAGGGUGUCCGCCUGGAGGGGCAUUUACCCCGGUCUACCGCAGUUACCGCGUUCUACCGUAUUUACCCCGAUCUACCGUAUUUAUCCCGGUCUACCGUAUUUAUCCCGGUCUACUCUUAUUUACCCCAGUCUACCGUGUUUACCCCGCCUACUGUAUUUACCCCACCUACCGUAUUUACCCUAGUCUACUCUAUUUACCUCAGUCUACUGUAUUUACCCCGUCUAUCGUAUUGACCCCGGUUUACCGUAUUUUGCCCUGCUUACCGUAUUUACCUCGGUCUACCGUAUUUACCGCGCCUACUGUAUUUACCCUGGUCUACUCGGUUUACCCCGGUCUACUCUAUUUACCCUGGUCUACCGUAUUUACCCCGCCUACUUUAUUUACCCGGUCUACUCUAUUUACCCCGGUCUACCGUAUUACCCCGGUCUACCGUAUUUACCCCGGUCUACCGUAUUUACCUCGGUCUACUGUAUUUACCCCAGUCUACCGGUGACCUCAGUUGGAUGCCAGGCCCUGCUGGGCCUUGUGUAGGAAGUGGACACUGGAGUACAUUUGGGGUGGCCAGUAGGGUUCAUAUCGUGGGCCAACUGCCCUUGAUUGGUAGAGACUGCUCAGAACCCUGUGUUGAAAAGUCUGCAUCUUCACUCGGGUCGAUUGGUGAUGUCUGCCCUGAUUACAGGCAUUGGUUGAUGUGUCGUGUUUUUGCCAACUCAGUAUUGGAUGAUGCUAAAGGACCCACCCAGUAACCUUGAGUAUUAGUGAUCUGCUACUUACAAGACCCCAAGCUGG
rnacentral:sRNA from 1 species